rnacentral:rRNA from 1 species
UACGUAGGGGGCAAGCGUUGUCCGGAUUUAUUGGGCGUAAAGAGCGUGUAGGCGGUUUGGUAGGUCCGCUGUGAAAACUCGAGGCUCAACCUCGAGACGCCGGUGGAAACCAUCAGACUAGAGUCCGGAAGAGGAGAGUGGAAUUCCUGGUGUAGCGGUGAAAUGCGCAGAUAUCAGGAGGAACACCGGUGGCGAAGGCGGGUCUCUGGGCCGAUACUGACGCUGAGGAGCGAAAGCGUGGGGAGCGAACAGG